CUUGCUUGUGCUCUUCGAUUCGCUUGCAGGAACAGCCUUCUUGGUGAGGUCAAUGACGUUGUGCUUGGUUGAUAACCAACGGAGCAGUGCUGUAAUGGUUGCAGGGUUCGAAUCGUGCUGAUUUGAACCUGGAUCGCCAACGUCGAGUUCUCCACAAUCGAAUUUACCAAUUACCUCCCGGAAGAUCGGGCCUGACCCUCAUCAAUUGGUAUCAGAUAUCUCAGGUUUACCGUGAGGUAUAAUCUCGUUUGCCCUAGAUUCAUAUUUGUUCAUUACCUACAAUCCACAAAAAACCCAAAAAUAUUUAAUUUUCCACUGUCCUAUCACCAUUGUGCCUUGCAAUUUUGUUUUCAGAUUUGCUUUAUUGAGUUUGUGUCCGUGGUUGAGUCUAGUUGCUGGUUUUGAUUGUGUUCGUCAUCGUAGUUCAUUUGCACCGUUGUUGUUCUUAGUUUCUGCCGCCAUCCCAUCCACUGUUUUUCAAACAACAAGUCGAAGCCACCACAUUACUCGACUUGCCUCCACUAGCCGCCUUGUGUGAUCUCUCACCGCCUCGCUAAACCUAGAUAGGUUGCCAACCGCUGUUAUUUUGCCUGCUUCGCAACACUCCUUACAUCAUCAGGCGAAUACCUAUUGUUGUUAGUCACAGGGAUGAUUCAUUCUAUGAUCGGUGUUGGAGUUUAGGGACGCUUUGCCCUAACUGCUGUCGCCGCCGCCGACGCCGUGUUGUACCUUGUGAAAAACAUAGAUACCUUCGGUAAAACAGGCAUAACUUUUCGCUCGUUUAUCAGAAAAAUCUAAAUUUUUUACAGCAGCUUCUUGACAUCAUUUGGACCAGACCCAAACUUGGCUUUGCCUUGUUUGGGCAAAAUUGUCAAAAAAAAUUCAAGAAAAUAAAGAAAAAAAAUUGACAAGGGUUUUGCACGCUUUUUAGAGAACUUGCUCAAUUUCUGUAGACCAUAUCUAACCUUAGUUGCAGUUGCCAAUUUUUGUAGUUACAUAUUUUGUGAUCCUUGUUUAGAGAAAAAUAUAAAAAAAUAGUGAAAAAAAUAAAAAUUCUUGAUUCCUACUAGUGCCUUUUGGGAAAAUCUAAAAAAAAUCCGGAUAAAAGAAAAAUCUGCACUAUUGCUUGUUUGCUGAGUUCCUUCCAUCAUACUUUGUUUCACCUUGUUGCACUACGUCUAGACACGUCUUAGCCAACAAUUGUGAUUUGUCCUUUGGAUACUUAUUGGACUUAGCUAACUCUGUAUUCGAAUAUUGCUAAUUCCUUGCUACUUAAAUUGUGCCUGUCCAAAGCUCCACAUAUACUUCUGUCAGCACAGGUUCAUCUUGUAACUGUUUACCCACACUCAACAACAGAUUACUUUGACAAUUUGGUUUUGCUCCUAUUUGGCUUUGGUAAGAACACUUGUAAGACGGUGGUAAGCCGCUUUUGAUUUUGUAUUCCACUUUUACCACCACCACCACC
rnacentral:lncRNA from 1 species